rnacentral:rRNA from 1 species
AUCCCCUACGGGWGGCWGCAGUAGGGAAUCUUCCGCAAUGGACGAAAGUCUGACGGAGCAACGCCGCGUGAGUGAAGAAGGUCUUCGGAUCGUAAAACUCUGUUGUUAGGGAAGAACAAGUAUCGUUCGAAUAGGGCGGUACCUUGACGGUACCUAACCAGAAAGCCACGGCUAACUACGUGCCAGCAGCCGCGGUAAUACGUAGGUGGCAAGCGUUGUCCGGAAUUAUUGGGCGUAAAGCGCGCGCAGGCGGUCUUUUAAGUCUGAUGUGAAAGCCCACGGCUCAACCGUGGAGGGUCAUUGGAAACUGGAAGACUUGAGUGCAGAAGAGGAGAGUGGAAUUCCACGUGUAGCGGUGAAAUGCGUAGAGAUGUGGAGGAACACCAGUGGCGAAGGCGACUCUCUGGUCUGUAACUGACGCUGAGGCGCGAAAGCGUGGGGAGCAAACAGGAUWAGAUACCCCUWGUAGUCAG